rnacentral:lncRNA from 1 species
GCACCCUUCAAUUCUUAUGAUAUAUCUGUUUACCAAAAUAGUGUUUUUUAUACGUAUACUAAAAAUGUAAAAGAAUACUCCUGUAUAAAACAAAAUACUCAACUCGCUGUUUCUCAUAACCACAGAACGACAUUUGAGGCAGAUUCACUAUGUGAUGCGCAAUAAAAGCGGGGAAACUACUAGCCAAAAAACUCUAAUCUAACUAUCUCCAGACCAAAAUCCACUACAUUCACUGCAAAACCCGGGAUAAACUGUGCAACCAUCACCACAUAGUAGAAGAGUUGGCACAAUUUUACAAACAUCUAUAUAAUUUAAAGGAUGACCACGAAACUUAUACACCAAACAAACUAGAUAUAGACAAUUUCCUGAAUGACAUGCAUCUUCCAUCGCUCACUGCCCAACAAGCUCAAUCCUUAGACGCCCCACUCGAGGAAGACGAAAUUAGAUCUGCAAUCCGCACACUUCCAAAGCAUAAGGCACCGGGGCCAGAUGGCCUGUCUAACUAUUAUUACAUUAAGUUAACUAACAUACUAGCGCCACAUCUCACAAGACUUUUUAAUGACAUUAGGUUGUUUCGGCGCUAUACCUCCAGAGAUGUUAGAGGCACAUGUAGUAACCUUACCAAAACCACACAAGCCCCCUUCCCUAUGCGCCAAUCUACGUCCUAUAUCGCUGCUCAAUGCAGACCUUAAGCUAUACGCCAAACUCCUUGCAUCCCGAAUCAAACCACUACUACUGCAGCUAGUUUCGGCUGAACAAGCAGGGUGUGUCCCGAACCGGAAGGUGGGGGACAAUACCCGAUUGGCAUUGGACCUGAUAGAAUGGGCGAACAACAGCUCUCAGAUGGGCAUUCUCUUGGCUUUGGACGCGGAGAAGGCCUUUGACCACCUUAACUGGUCCUAUAUGGACGCCACGCUCUCCGGGGACUUUGUCCGGAGCAUUAAGGUACUCUACUCCAACCCCACAGCAAAAGUCUUUAAUACUGGCUUCCUGUCAUCUACAUUCCAAAUCUCCAAUGGCACGCGGCAAGGUUGCCCUCUCUCACCCCUUAUAUUUAUUCUUUGCCUAGAACCUCUAAUCCGCAGCAUUAAAUCACUACGGCAAUUAUAGGCCUGUCGACCCAAGAUGAGGAAAAUAAAACUAGCGUUAUUUGUGAAUGACAUUUUGAUUUUUUUGUGAGAACCGCUUAACUCCCUGCCACCACUAAUGCGCCCGCUUUCCCUAUAUGGUCAAAUUUCAUAUUAUAAAAAUAAUGCGUCAAAAACACAGGCGCUACCCAUUAAUUUACCCAAACAACUUAAGCAAAUCUUACAAACCAAGCACAAUUUUGAUUGGCGAGUUAAAUCGCUGACAUAUUUGGGUAUAAAACUUACGACACAAUCAGGGAAAACCACAUGGAAUAAAUGCCAUCAAGAUGAUGGUCGUCCCUCACGUCCUAUACCUUUUCAGGACAGUCCCACUACCCCUACCUAGGAAUAUCACAAGACGUAUGCAAAAGCUUAUAAACUCUCAUGUCUGGAAAAAGAAACGCCCAAGGGUGGCGCAACAAAUGUCAUGGCUUCCGCUUAAUGCAGGAGGCCUGGGAAUCCCUUGUGUCCACAACUAUCAUAGAGCUUCGGUAUUGUCACAGGGUGUUGACCUUUUAGCAAAACGGAUGAACCCGGUGUGGCUCAAACUAGAGAAUGCAUGCAUUUCACCUGCUACUUUAGCAAGUCUGCUAUGGACCAACUCUGACACUACCCCCCACGCAACUUUAUGAGGUGUGCCCCAAUUCAGGCCAAUUAGGAAAUUUCACCUGACCUCCCAGUGGGAUCUUGGAGCAUGGGGUGCAUAGCAAAAGUCUCUGAUUUGUAUGACUUACGAGGAAUUAAACAAUUCCCGGACUUGCAAAAUUAAUUCUCAUUAGCUCAUAGGGAACUAUUUACAUACAUUCGCCUCAAAAGUAUCCUUCUCUCCCGACAAAUGGAACCCCAGGCACAAUUAUCCCUGCAUAGGGCAUGUUUAAUCUCCUUGCAAAAGGAGCAACAAAUUUAAAAUCCCUGUCCCUAUGUUACUCAACUCAUAGUGAACCUAAGGAAGAACAAAAGCAACCCUAUAUGCGCAGCUGGGAAAAAGAACUUGGUAAGAUGUUCCAACUCACACAAUGGCAGGAGGCUAUCAGAUCAAGGCAGCCUCCAAAAGCAUAUCCAUGUGGGAAGCGCAUGCCAAAUUACGGAUGAGGUGUUAUUUGGUGCCCCUCAGACUUUUUACAAAUCUAUAAGGAUGCUAAUCCUACCAGUUGGAGAUAUCAAACCGCCAUAGGCUUUCUUAGCCAUGUAUUUUGGGAAUGUUUAGAGUUAAAGCAGUUCUGGAAUUCAAUAACAGCGUUGACAGAUAAUUGCCUGACACAUUAUCCCCACCACCCACCACGGCACGAACUCCGCAAGACAUGUACAACCCAAGCAACACAAUACGAAACAUCCGAUGAUACACAACUACAGCCAUACUUCCUACAAAAUCCCAUCUUCCUGACUCAUCCGCCACAAUGGCAACAAGUCAAAGAGGGUACCACUUUAAACAUAUCAAUUACCAUUGGACCGCAAGUACCUGAAAACGUAAGCCCCAAAAUAGGCACGAUAAAAAUGACUAGUUGUCUACAGAGACACCCACAACGGAAAACUUGCACACCGUAAGCGCUACUCUGCAUAAUAACAGAAACAAGACGGCUUUGUAUUGUGUACCCCCCUUGUCUUCCUUAACCUGCAACUACAAAAU